ACACUCAGAUAUAAAGGCUCUCAGAUUCUGCAUCAAAUGAAUAAAUUCACUCUUGUAAGCUGUAGUUGGCAAACUGGCAAUUUUGUUCCCCAGGGGACAUCUGGCUAUGUCUGGAGACAUUUUAGGUUGUCACAUCUGUACAAGCCAGGGAUAAUAAACAUCCUACGAUGAACAGGACAGUGCCCCACAACAAAGAAUUAUCUGGCC